ACGGGUGAGUAACACGUAGGCAACCUGCCCUCAAGCUUGGGACAACUACCGGAAACGGUAGCUAAUACCGAAUACUUGUUUUCUUCGCCUGAAGAGAACUGGAAAGACGGAGCAAUCUGUCACUUGGGGAUGGGCCUGCGGCGCAUUAGCUAGUUGGUGAGGUAAUGGCUCACCAAGGCGACGAUGCGUAGCCGACCUGAGAGGGUGAUCGGCCACACUGGGACUGAGACACGGCCCAGACUCCUACGGGAGGCAGCAGUAGGGAAUCUUCCGCAAUGGGCGAAAGCCUGACGGAGCAAUGCCGCGUGAGUGAUGAAGGUUUUCGGAUCGUAAAGCUCUGUUGCCAGGGAAGAACGCUUGAGAGAGUAACUGCUCUCAAGGUGACGGUACCUGAGAAGAAAGCCCCGGCUAACUACGUGCCAGCAGCCGCGGUAAUACGUAGGGGCAAGCGUUGUCCGGAAUUAUUGGGCGUAAAGCGCGCGCAAGCGGUCAUGUAGUCUGGUGUUUAAUCCCGGGGCUCAACCCCGAUCGCACUGGAAACUGUGUGACUUGAGUGCAGAAGAGAGAGUGGAAUUCC
rnacentral:rRNA from 1 species